rnacentral:tRNA from 1 species
GCGCUUGUCGGCGAGGCCCUUCAGGCGCGCGUGCUCCUGGCGGGCGAGCUCCUCGCGGGCGCGGAUCUCGGCGAGCGCGCC